rnacentral:rRNA from 1 species
CGCGCCGUAAACGAUGGGUGCUAGGUGUCGCGGGCUUUGACCCCUGCGGUGCCGUAGCUAACGCAUUAAGCACCCCGCCUGGGGAGUACGGCCGCAAGGCUAAAACUCAAAGGAAUUGACGGGGGCCCGCACAAGCGGUGGAGCAUGUGGUUUAAUUCGAUGCAACGCGAAGAACCUUACCUGGGCUAGAAAACACGUGAACCUGGCGGAAACGUCGGGGUGCCCCUCGGGGAACGCGUGGUUAGGUGC